rnacentral:rRNA from 1 species
CGCUGGCGGCGUGCCUAAUACAUGCAAGUCGAACGGUCUUUCUAUGGAAACUUGCUUCCACUGAAAGAUAGUGGCGAACGGGUGAGUAACACGUGGGUAACCUGCCCAUAAGAGGGGGGAUAACAUCCGGAAACGGGUGCUAAUACCGCAUAGUUUUCUUGAUCGCAUGAUCGGGAAAGGAAAGACGGCCUUUGUGCUGUCGCUUAUGGAUGGACCCGCGGCGUAUUAGUUAGUUGGUGAGGUAACGGCUCACCAAGACGAUGAUACGUAGCCGACCUGAGAGGGUGAUCGGCCACAUUGGGACUGAGACACGGCCCAAACUCCUACGGGAGGCAGCAGUAGGGAAUCUUCCGCAAUGGACGAAAGUCUGACGGAGCAACGCCGCGUGAGUGAAGAAAGGUCUUCGGAUCGUAAAACUCUGUUGUCAGAGAAGAACAAGUUGGAGAGUAACUGCUCCAGCCUUGACGGUAUCUGACCAGAAAGCCACGGCUAACUACGUGCCAGCCGCCGC